CCUGCACUGUCCCUGUUGCAGUAGAUAUUCAGUUCGGAAUGACUUUCUUUGUGGUUGUUGUUCUUUUUUAGUCUCACCUUCUCAGUACCUCAUCUCUCUCACAUGCAACAGGAUGCUGAUUAAAAGUUGCCCUGCAUUGCUCUGUUUACCUGACGCCCGACCUUCUCAUCAGGUAGCUGUUUUGUAAAGCAGAAUACUGCAAGGUUUUAUUUUUUAAAUUGUAGCAUCAUGAUGAGUGUUUUGAAGAAAAUGAUAGAAAAAGAGAUUUACAGACUGGCAUGACUUCUUUAAAAUGUUUGGGAUAGAAGCCACAGUUAUGACGUAUACAAUUCAAAGACAGAUAUUUUGUUUGUUAUCUAAACUAAAGAUGUGUGCUGAGGUCUUAUAUGUAGUAUGGUUAUUAUUCAUCUGAUUAAUUGCAAUUUAUGAUUUAGGGCUUACUAAUAUUAUGAACAGCAGCUACGCUAAUUCCUUUCCACUUGUUUUCCUUCUUCUACCCAUCCUGAGGCACAUAGAGAUUGUGCUAGCUCCAGUAGACAGAGACCAACCCUACGAGGAUCCUGAGGCAUCCAGAGAUGGACCUGCUCCAGCUGGUUUCUGCCUCGUGAGGAUUUGGGUGUUCAAAGCAACGCUGCCAACUCUAUGUGGACUUUGAGGAAGACAACAACCUACAUGACUAUAAAUAAAUACAGAAAGGACAUUGUUCAUAUCACACUCUCCAGUGUCACCCAAAUGAGGAUGGGUUCCCUUUUGAGUCUGGUUCCUCUCAAGGUUUCUUCCUCAUAUCAUCUCAGGGAGUUUUUCCUUGCCACAGUCGCCUCAGUCGCCUCAGGCUUGCUCACUAGGGAUAAUUCUGUCUAACAUCUAGGACUGUUUGCAUGUUUUUGUUUCUGUUUGCAUGCUUUUUGUCUCUUAUGUUCUGUAAAGCUGCUUUGAGACAAUGUUCAUUGUUAAAAGCGCUAUACAAAUAAAAUUGAAUUGAAUUGAAUUAAACAGCUGUAAGAACCA